ACAAACAUUAACAAUAAAGAGUAUAGUUGAUACCGGCUGUGCUUGAAAUCAAAAGCCAGUGGAGAGGAGCUACAUUUAUUGAAACAUAGACGUGUCUAGUCAAUGUUUAGGUAAACUUUAUAAUGACAGUGCCGUGUUACACUUAAUACGUAAUUACAACCAGCAUUUAGCGAACGAAUUAACGGGUUAGCCUUCUGUUAGCAUUGAUUGUAAACGGAACCUCCACCAGCUAACACUGUUAGCAUGCUAUCAUUCGCACCCUGAUUCCAAAAUGGACCUCUUUAAAAAACGAAACAAAGUCAGGCGUAUGUAUUUGUCUAUACCUCAGCGUAAAGGUGAGAGUACUUACGGGAAGGCGAGGGCUAAUCUCUGCGGAGCAUCUGUGACAGAAGAACCGGCUAGGCCAUGGAUGUGCUUCAGCCAUCUUUAGCCUCUGAGGCGGAGAGGUACUCUGGCAUUCUCCCAGAUCAAUAAAACGUGCAUAUCAUGCUACUUGGGUUUACAGGAGACAAUUCCCAAGAACCCCAACAGGCUGACCUCAUUCAUGGUCAGACUGGAGUUGGACCACGCUGUGUCCAGGCGGCCCCCAGCACAGCACUCCUCUCUGGUGACCCCUCUCAUCAGCACCAUGUCACACCGUUGGCUCUGCUGCAGCCAGCACAUCCCGCCUGCCGACAGACAUAUAGGAAACCGGAGUACCGGGAGAAAACCCACGCAUGCACGGGGAGAACAUGCCAACUACACACAGAGAUGGCUGAGGUUGGAAUUGAACCCUGGUCUCCUAGCUGUGAGGCCCUGGUUUGCCUGAUGGGAGGAGCUACCCCGCCAGCUACAGGUGUUCCCAAUCACCUCCUCUCCCAUUUAAGCACACCUGUGGCAGCAGGAGGGUGUCGUAGUAUUGUUCCUUUUGGACGCAUGCCACAUGCUAGACAGACCUGACCUUCUGCCACCUUUUUUCUGCUGUAGUGUUGUUUUCUCCCCUGCAGCUCGACGCCCUCCUAUCAGCCAGGUUUUUUUCUUCAAAACAGGGCAACUAUCCACCCACGCAUCCAUCCAUCCAUUUUCUAUACCGCUUAACUGUCACGGGUAUGCUGGAGCCUAUCCCAGCUGACUUCAGACACACCCUGGACUGUUCACCAGCCAAUACAAGGCCACUAUUGUAUACAAGCAUGCCAGGUCAUUCAACAAAACAUUGGAUCUCAAGAAGAUGUUAACUCAUUUACUUCUCUGAAGACCUCCUCAACAUAAUUUGCAAUCAAGCAAACAGCAAAAUGUUGGAGAAAGAGAAAUGGAGAAAGCGUACCACCGCUUGGCAGGAAGAGAGUUCACUCAUUGCAUUCGUUCAGCAUCUAGGCCAGGGGUGGCUAACCGGUCAAAGGUCAAGAGCCACAUCAUACAUAUCAUACAGAUGGAAGGCAACAAAACAAAAAAAACCCUGCAUAUUGAAAUGAAGGCCAACACUUUGGGAUGUUUUUUUUCCCCUUUGGAGAAGGAGAACUUCCUGUUUUGUGAGUCUACACAAACUUUUUUUUCCCCCAGUUGUUAAAUUGCAGUUUUGAUUUGACAUAUACGUAUUUGUCAAGCUUUUGUUGUCAUUAAUUGCCGGCCAUAGUGAGUGAAUAUGAAACCAGUAAAACACCAGUAAAAUAAAAGUAAAAUAAAGCAAAAUGCACCUAGCUUAAGUCUUAAGGAAUUAGACUUUUGAGACAUAUCUUCCUAAAAAGCUGAGACUAGAUCAAAUUAAAAUAAAAUGUGUUUAUGUUUAUAAAUAUUUCUCAGCAUUUGAGCACCCUUUUCCAAAGCAUUUUGGUUGAACUCGCAGUCGCUUCAGGAACAGCAAUCGCCUUUAUUUGAUCAAGUAGAUGAUGAUUGAUUGACACAGCAUUUAUUAGAGUGGAGUGCGGUGGCAGUGUAGAGGGAGUAAAAGCUUUAAAAAAAAAAAAGAAUAAAAGCUGUCGCUCAUACUUACCACCCACUCUCCCAAUUUAAAUGUUAUGAAUGACAAACCUGAAAAUAAUGAGGAGGGUGGCAGCUGUUUCCACUUAACUAAGGAUGUGGAGAAGCUCCCUUACUGUGAGGAUGUGGAUAGGAUGUAUCAGAAUAAUAACAAAAUAAAAGACAAUAAGCUAUUCACCUGUGACACCCUACCUUUAUAGUGAGGACAUAUUGUCGUUGUGGGGACAUGGCUGGUUCUUAAUAUACAGUGGUGCCUUGGUUUAGCAUCAGUAAUCUGUUCCAGAAGGUCUGACUCUAACCAAAACGUACUCUAACUAAGAUAGGUUGAUAAGUGCAGCUCUCCUUUAAAGGGAACCGACUCGGCUUUUUCCACUUUUCUGAAAUAAACGUAGUUAGAAUAUUAUAUUUUCGUGUUACACGAUGCCAAAGUUUCAGAUAAUGAGGUUUGCGAAUUUGGAAGAAAUUUGGGAUGACUCUGAAUGCUUGGUUUCAGAGAUUUUCUUCGUGAUGUAACAGUCUGACAGUUCCAACGUUACUUGGUUAUGUUGUAGAGUCAGAAGCACAGGCUGUAAGUAACGGUGUCCUAACUGUUUAUUUUGUGUAAGUAAGCAGUUGCCUGUGUAGCAUUAUAGAGUGUGCAUACAGGGAGCGGGGCACAAAUGACAAACUCACCGAUGUCUGGAGUUGCUAAUAGCCCUUUUCUACCACCAGUCAGUGGUCUACUCAAGUUUUUUAAACACGGGUAGUCCUGCAAAAAUUGUGUAAUGACCAAAUUUCUACUACCGAUGUUGUGCUAAAAUUGUUACAGAAGACUUCCGGACUACUGCCGUUUUGUGUUUACAUUUUAGGCUUUCUGCAAAGGAUUAAUUGGAUUGAACUUAUUUCUUUUGGAAAAAAAUAUUCGGUUAGUGUCCAUUUUGGUUAGAGUUGGACCUUUUAGAAUGAAUUAAUGACACUAUUAGACGCAUUUAGCUUAAAAAGCAACACAUCAUUAGAAGGUCUGAUGUGUUAAUUGCUGGUAUGCCGGCCAGGUGUUUACCUUUUGGGAAACCCUGUAGGGAAAGAAUGUAUGUAAAUGGAAUAUUUAUGAUAUAUGAUAAGGGGCUCAGUUGAGACAUGAUGAGGCCGGACAGAGGGUCUUUGGAAUUACCAACGGGAACUUUUAUGGUCAUAUAGACUGACCCUCAUAAAACAACCUGGAAUGGUAGGAAGACAUCAGAGGAUCAGGUGACAAAAUGUUCCUUCAGAUCCUUCAAAGGAAGGGGAGCGGAACAGACUAAGAUGAAAGACUGGACAAUGUUUGGUGCCUUUUAGACAAGAGAACUCAAGGGGUGGAUGGCAUAAUUGGAAUUAAAAAGUAGACUGGGCUAUCUUCAAAAAUAGCUGAAAAAAGUUGGAAAAA